UGCUAGUCGCACCAACUUCCGUUAAUUGAUUAUGACGUACUUGUACUGAUUGAGAUUUUAAACGAAGUGAGUGGCGAACGGGUGAGUAACACGUGGGUAACCUGCCCAGAAGUAGGGGAUAACACCUGGAAACAGAUGCUAAUACCGUAUAACAGAGAAAACCGCAUGGUUUUCUUUUAAAAGAUGGCUCUGCUAUCACUUCUGGAUGGACCCGCGGCGUAUUAGCUAGUUGGUGAGGUAAAGGCUCACCAAGGCAGUGAUACGUAGCCGACCUGAGAGGGUAAUCGGCCACAUUGGGACUGAGACACGGCCCAGACUCCUACGGGAGGCAGCAGUAGGGAAUCUUCCACAAUGGACGCAAGUCUGAUGGAGCAACGCCGCGUGAGUGAAGAAGGGUUUCGGCUCGUAAAGCUCUGUUGUUAAAGAAGAACGUGGGUAAGAGUAACUGUUUACCCAGUGACGGUAUUUAACCAGAAAGCCACGGCUAACUACGUGCCAGCAGCCGCGGUAAUACGUAGGUGGCAAGCGUUAUCCGGAUUUAUUGGGCGUAAAGCGAGCGCAGGCGGUCUUUUAAGUCUAAUGUGAAAGCCUUCGGCUCAACCGAAGAAGUGCAUUGGAAACUGGGAGACUUGAGUGCAGAAGAGGACAGUGGAACUCCAUGUGUAGCGGUGAAAUGCGUAGAUAUAUGGAAGAACACCAGUGGCGAAGGCGGCUGUCUGGUCUGCAACUGACGCUGAGGCUCGAAAGCAUGGGUAGCGAACAGGAUUAGAUACCCUGGUAGUCCAUGCCGUAAACGAUGAUUACUAAGUGUUGGAGGGUUUCCGCCCUUCAGUGCUGCAGCUAACGCAUUAAGUAAUCCGCCUGGGGAGUACGACCGCAAGGUUGAAACUCAAAAGAAUUGACGGGGGCCCGCACAAGCGGUGGAGCAUGUGGUUUAAUUCGAAGCUACGCGAAGAACCUUACCAGGUCUUGACAUCUUCUGACAGUCUAAGAGAUUAGAGGUUCCCUUCGGGGACAGAAUGACAGGUGGUGCAUGGUUGUCGUCAGCUCGUGUCGUGAGAUGUUGGGUUAAGUCCCGCAACGAGCGCACCCUUAUUACUAGUUGCCAGCAUUAAGUUGGGCAUCUAGUGAAAUGCCGGGACAAACCCGAAGAAAGUGGG
rnacentral:rRNA from 1 species